rnacentral:rRNA from 1 species
ACUCCUACGGGAGGCAGCAGUGGGGAAUAUUGCACAAUGGGCGCAAGCCUGAUGCAGCCAUGCCGCGUGUAUGAAGAAGGCCUUCGGGUUGUAAAGUACUUUCAGCAGUGAGGAAGGUGGAUAUGUUAAUUAGCGAUAUUCAUUUGAUCGUUAUGCUGCAGAAGAAGCACCGGCUAACUCCGUGCCAGCAGCCGCGGUAAUACGGAGGGUGCGAGCGUUAAUCGGAAUUACUGGGCGUAAAGCGCAUGCAGGUGGUUUGUUAAGUCAGAUGUGAAAGCCCGGGGCUCAACCUCGGAAUUGCAUUUGAAACUGGCAAACUAGAGUACUGUAGAGGGGGGGUAGAAUUUCAGGUGUAGCGGUGAAAUGCGUAGAGAUCUGAAGGAAUACCGGUGGCGAAGGCGGCCCCCUGGACAGAUACUGACACUCAGAUGCGAAAAGCGUGGGGAGCAAACAGGGUUAGAUACCCUGGUAGCUACGAGU